rnacentral:snRNA from 1 species
GUAUUGCCCUGGCAGGGUGGCAUCCUGAUGGUGAAGGUGGUUUCCCCAGGGUAAGGCUCAUCCAAUGCACUCUGGGUGUGCUGCCUCCUGUGGUUCCCCACAAUGUGGGAAACUUGACCAUGCAAUUUGUGGCAAUGGGGAAAUGUGUUUGUGCUCUCCGAU